rnacentral:rRNA from 1 species
AUCAACUUUCGAUGGUAGGAUAGAGGCCUACCAUGGUGGUAACGGGUAACGGGGUGUUAGGGCACGACACCGGAGAGGGAGCCUGAGAAACGGCUACCACAUCCAAGGAUGGCAGCAGGCGCGCAAAUUACCCAAUCCCGACACGGGGAGGUAGUGACAAUAAAUAACAAUACGGGGUUCUUUCGGAUUUCGUAAUUGGAAUGAGUACAAUUUAAAUCUCUUAACGAGGAACAAUUGGAGGGCAAGUCUGGUGCCAGCAGCCGCGGUAAUUCCAGCUCCAAUAGCGUAUAUUAAAGUUGCUGCAGUUAAAAAGCUCGUAGUUGAAUUUCGGGACCAAUAUGUCGGUCGUGCCUCGGUACGUACUGGCAUCGUUGGUUUCUCCCUUCUGACGAACCAUGAUGUCAUUUAUUUGGUGUCGUGGGGAAUCAGGACUGUUACUUUGAAAAAAUUAGAGUGUUUAAAGCAGGCUCACGCUUGAAUACAUUAGCAUGGAAUAAUGAAAUAGGACAUUUGAUUCUAUUUUGUUGGUUUCUAGGAUCGACGUAAUGAUUAAUAGGGAUAGUUGGGGGCAUUAGUAUUCAAUUGUCAGAGGUGAAAUUCUUGGAUUUAUUGAAGACUAACUACUGCGAAAGCAUUUGCCAAGGAUGUUUUCAUUAAUCAAGAACGAAAGUUAGGGGAUCGAAGACGAUCAGAUACCGUCGUAGUCUUAACCAUAAACUAUGCCGACUAGGGAUCGGAUGAUGUUAAUUUUUUAAUGACUCAUUCGGCGCCUUACGGGAAACCAAAGUGUUUGGGUUC